rnacentral:misc_RNA from 1 species
AACCAUAGAAACCUGCGGAGUACCUGCGGAAGGAUCAUUACCGAGUGCGGGUCCCCUCGCGGGGCCCAACCUCCCACCCGUGUCUACCGCCACCUGUUGCUUCGGCGGGCCCGCCUUCGUGCCGCCGGGGGGCCCUCUGCGCCCCCGGGCCCGCGCCCGCCGAAGACUCUAGGAACACUGAAUGAAGGAUGCCGUCUGAGUCAAACGACACAAUCGUUAAAACUUUUAACAAUGGAUCUC